UACGUAGGGUGCGAGCGUUAAUCGGAAUUACUGGGCGUAAAGCGUGCGCAGGCGGUUUUGCAAGUCAGAUGUGAAAGCCCCGGGCUCAACCUGGGAACUGCGUUUGAAACUGCAAGGCUAGAGUGUAGCAGAGGGGGGUAGAAUUCCACGUGUAGCAGUGAAAUGCGUAGAGAUGUGGAGGAAUACCAAUGGCGAAGGCAGCCCCCUGGGUUAACACUGACGCUCAUGCACGAAAGCGUGGGGAGCGAACAGG
rnacentral:rRNA from 1 species